rnacentral:lncRNA from 1 species
UGUGUUUGGUGAACUAAUAUCUCAACCCCUUACCCUCAUAUUCACCUGUAGAUUCAUCAGCCCUCUAAAACGCAGCAGAACAGAUAUCAGAUCUUGGGCAGCAAGACAAGAGGAAUCUUGAACUUUCUGCUUCAAGUUCAUUUAGUAGCCUUCACACAGAUACCUCAGCAAGGACUGAAGGAAAGUUAGCUGAAACCACAGUUAGCCUGCUGCCUUCCUACCCAAUUGUCACAUCCUCUGGCAUGAUGAUGACUUUGAAGUUAAAGUGAAGCUGAGAACAGCGUGACAAUCUCUGACAGAGAGGAGGAGGAUGUGCAAACAAUCUACUCUUUGAAAAAGAUUAGGAUACCUUGUAAUGAGAAAGCAGGGUUUCAGAAUACAGAGCUGCUGUACAGUUUAGCUUCAAAACAACCUCCCCCCACAGCACACCAGUAAGAAGCCUU